GGCCUAGUUUAUCCUCUGGGUUGGAAGGUCAGAUGGCAUCCGGUUUCCUCACGAUAUUUUCCUUCACCGAAAAGCGACUGGUAAAUAUCAAAUGAUAUUUCGUACAUAAAUUCCGAAAAACUCAUUGGUACGAGCCGGGGUUUGAACCCGCGACCUCCGGAUUGCAAGUCGCACGCUCUUACCGCUAGGCCACCAGCGCUUCAUAA